rnacentral:rRNA from 1 species
CAUGCAGUCGAGCGGCAGCACGGGAGCAAUCCUGGUGGCGAGUGGCGAACGGGUGAGUAAUAUAUCGGAACGUGCCCAGUCGUGGGGGAUAACGUAAAGAAAUUUACGCUAAUACCGCAUACGAUCCAAGGAUGAAAGCGGGGGACUUCGCAAGAGGCCUCGCGCGAUUGGAGCGGCUGAUAUCAGAUUAGGUUGUUGGUGAGGUAAAAGCUCACCAAGCCGACGAUCUGUAGCUGGUUUGAGAGAACGACCAGCCACACUGGGACUGAGACACGGCCCAGACUCCUACGGGAGGCAGCAGUGGGGAAUUUUGGACAAUGGGCGAAAGCCUGAUCCAGCAAUGCCGCGUGCAGGAAGAAGGCCUUCGGGUUGUAAACUGCUUUUGUACGGAACGAAAAGGUCUGCCCUAAUACGGCGGGCCCAUGACGGUACCGUAAGAAUAAGCACCGGCUAACUACGUGCCAGCAGCCGCGGUAAUACGUAGGGUGCGAGCGUUAAUCGGAAUUACUGGGCGUAAAGCGUGCGCAGGCGGUGAUGUAAGACAGUUGUGAAAUCCCCGGGCUCAACCUGGGAAUUGCAUCUGUGACUGCAUCGCUAGAGUACGGUAGAGGGGGAUGGAAUUCCGCGUGUAGCAGUGAAAUGCGUAGAUAUGCGGAGGAACACCGAUGGCGAAGGCAAUCCCCUGGACCUGUACUGACGCUCAUGCACGAAAGCGUGGGGA